UACGAAGGGUGCAAGCGUUACUCGGAAUUACUGGGCGUAAAGCGUGCGUAGGUGGUGAGUUAAGUCUGUCGUGAAAGCCCCGGGCUCAACCUGGGAAUGGCGAUGGAUACUGGCUCGCUAGAGUGCGGUAGAGGAGAGUGGAAUUCCCGGUGUAGCAGUGAAAUGCGUAGAGAUCGGCAGGAACACCAGUGGCGAAGGCGGCCACCUAGCCCGCACCUGACGCUGAGGCGCGACAGCGUGGGGAGCGAACUGG
rnacentral:rRNA from 1 species